rnacentral:piRNA from 1 species
GCCAUAGGGAAUAUUGUCACUGGAACAGA